GGUGGUUCUCGGGUGACGCACCCCAGAAUCGGGCUCCCUCCUCUCUGGUUCUGGGGUGCAUCACCUGAGAACCGCC
rfam:Myotis brandtii contig265648, whole genome shotgun sequence.